rnacentral:rRNA from 1 species
GAUGAACGCUGGCGGCGUGCCUAAUACAUGCAAGUCGAGCGAACGGACGAGAAGCUUGCUUCUCUGAUGUUAGCGGCGGACGGGUGAGUAACACGUGGAUAACCUACCUAUAAGACUGGGAUAACUUCGGGAAACCGGAGCUAAUACCGGAUGAUAUUUUGAACCGCAUGGUUCAAAAGUGAAAGACGGUCUUGCUGUCACUUAUAGAUGGAUCCGCGCUGCAUUAGCUAGUUGGUAAGGUAACGGCUCACCAAGGCAACGAUGCGUAGCCGACCUGAGAGGGUGAUCGGCCACACUGGAACUGAGACACGGUCCAGACUCCUACGGGAGGCAGCAGUAGGGAAUCUUCCGCAAUGGGCGAAAGCCUGACGGAGCAACGCCGCGUGAGUGAUGAAGGUCUUCGGAUCGUAAAACUCUGUUAUUAGGGAAGAACAUAUGUGUAAGUAACUGUGCACAUCUUGACGGUACCUAAUCAGAAAGCCACGGCUAACUACGUG